rnacentral:tRNA from 12 species
GUCAGGAUAGCUCAGCUGGUAGAGCAGAGGACUGA